UACAGAGGUCUCGAGCGUUGUUCGGAUUCAUUGGGCGUAAAGGGCUCGUAGGCGGCCAACUAAGUCAGACGUGAAAUCCCUCGGCUUAACCGGGGAACUGCGUCUGAUACUGGAUGGCUUGAGUUUGGGAGAGGGAUGCGGAAUUCCAGGUGUAGCGGUGAAAUGCGUAGAUAUCUGGAGGAACACCGGUGGCGAAGGCGGCAUCCUGGACCAACACUGACGCUGAGUGAGCGAAAGCCAGGGGAGCAAACGGG
rnacentral:rRNA from 1 species